GUCAUGGACGUGCAAACACCAUGUUAGCACUGGAAGAGCCAGAGCGUGUGCAGGAAAGAGGCUGCCCCACCGGCCUCACUGCGACCCCCAGCUGGGACCCACGUCGGGUGCAGGCCGUGGGUGCGCCCCUCACCCAGGACGUUCUUCCGGCGUCGGCGAUGAUGGACAGCUCCCGCCUCGGGGUCGCUUCCGCACCGACUUCCGCCUCUUCCGAGCUCCUGCUCGGCGUCGCCAACCAUCGGGAGUCCUCAGGCCGCGCACACUCAGCCCAGCCGGGGCUCACCCUCCUCCCGGGGUCUGCUCACAGCCCAGCCCCUCCCGCCGCAGCGUGGGGCCCUUCCUGCCUCCAGCCCUCCGCCCAGUGAUCCCGCUGCGGCAGCGCCUCACCCCCCGCGCUCCAUCCCGGCCCCGGCCUGGCCCCCUUCUCCUGCCUGGAUUUUGACGUCUCUCGACUGGCCUGGAGGCCCCGAGCGUCUCCCAACAAGCCACACCGCCCUGACUCAUCUUCCAGGAUGCCUCUCCGGGGCCAAAAAGCUUCGUGAUUUCCGAUUUUCCACAGAAGUUAUUUCAGAGCCUCAGCCGGGCGCUCGCGUCUCCGCAGAGUGGGGUCCUCAGGCCAGUGGCACCGCAGAAUCACAGCUCCCCACCAGACGCUCUGCUUAGAGUCUCCUUUUUAACAAGUUUUCACCAGUUACUCUAGGGAGCGAGUCACACCGUCAUCCUGAAAGUGAUCCUAUUUCAUCCAUUUUACUGGUGAGAAACUGAAGCACAGAAAGGUUGCCAGCUUCUUCAGCUCCAAGUCUG